ensembl:snoRNA predicted gene, 22531
ACAGCCCCUAGAGGCAUUGCAGAUGUGGCUGUUGUGUCAUGUAUGCAUCAGUAGAUGGUGGAAAUGAGAAAGGACACAUCUAUGCUCAGAGUUCUAACCUGUGAGUCUAAUACUCCAUGAAAAAGAAUGAGCCUGAGAUG